rnacentral:lncRNA from 1 species
AAGGAGACAAGGUUAAUGCUAAAAAGCCUAACAAUAUUCAGGAGAAGUUGGGAGUGGAACUCACAAAUAAGGAAUCUUGGAAUCUACAAGAACACUUACCAGUUGAUGAGGGAAAGGUUGCUAUUGAUAACCUUGACACCAUUCUAGAGAAAAUGGAAAUGAAUUUCUCUGAUAAGGAAUUUGAAGAACUGUCACACAAUUGGCCAGCUGAUGGGAAAGUGAAACGUAUUAAACUAGUGCAUGCAGCUAUACCUGUUACAGGUAAGAAGUUGAUAUAAAACUGAGAUACUAAUGCUUUAUAAAAUUUUUUUUGCAACAGUAUUUUGAAUAUGUAACCAUUUCUUUGUAACUUCUGCCACUUUAUUAACUAA